rnacentral:rRNA from 1 species
UACGGGGGGAGCAAGCGUUGUUCGGAUUUACUGGGCGUAAAGGGCGCGUAGGCGGCCACCGCAAGUCAGUUGUGAAAUCUCUGGGCUUAACCCAGAAAGGUCAACUGAUACUGCGGGGCUAGAGUGCAGAAGGGGCAACUGGAAUUCUCGGUGUAGCGGUGAAAUGCGUAGAUAUCGUAAGGAAGACCAGUGGCGAAGGCGGGUCUCUGGACAGUUCCUGACGCUGAGGCACGAAGGUCAGGGGAGCAAACGGG